UACGAAGGGGGCUAGCGUUGCUCGGAAUCACUGGGCGUAAAGGGUGCGUAGGCGGGUUUUAAGUUCAGAGGUGAAAUCCUGGAGCUCAACUCCAGAACUGCCUUCCAGACUGCUUUGCUUGAGGCCGGGAGAGGUGAGUGGAAUUCCCAGUGUAGCGGUGAAAUGCGUAGAUAUUGGAGGAACACCAGUGGCGAAGGCGGCUCACUGGACCGGUUCUGACGCUGAGGCGCGAAAGCGUGGGGAGCAAACGGG
rnacentral:rRNA from 1 species